rnacentral:lncRNA from 1 species
AGACACUAUAUGCUGGGGCCUUGAUCUUUAGACUUCUUAGCCUCCAGAACUAUAAGAAAUAAAGUUCUGCAUUAUCCAGUUUGUGGUAUUAUGUUAUAGGAGUAGAUGGUAGGCCAAGACCGACGGAAAAAAAGAUUCCCUAGGAACAUAAAGUACCCAUCAUCUACACAGCUUUUAUACUUUGCAUCUGGAAUAUCCUACAAAGUCCAAUGAGCAGAAGGCUUGGUCACCAACUUGGCACCAUUGGGAAGUGGUGGAACCUUCAGGAGGUGGGGCUUAGUGGGACGAAGUUAGGUUGUUCUGGGAGUGCACUAUAGGGGGAUAUUGGGAUCCCAGCCUCUUCCUCCUCUUUGCUGUCAUGCUGUGAGCAGCUUCGCUAUACUCUGUGUUCUCUGCAGUGAUGUACUGUUUUCCUAUAGGUUCAAAAGCAACAAGCUAACCAACCAUGAGCUAGAACCUCUGAAUCGGGGAGCCAAAAUAAAUCUUUUCUCCAUUAAGUUGAUUAUUUUAGAUGUCUUUGUCUCAGCACCAGAAAGCUAACACAAUAACCAUUCCAGCCCUAGCUGUUGGCCCAUCCUUUAUCACCCACUAGAUUUUCAGGAUCUUUUCACAUCUUCCACAUUGACAAUUAAGGGAUCUCCCCUGCCCUGAUAUUAAGCUCUUUCACAAUUAAAAAGAUGCAUAUAAUUUUAAAAAUAUCAAGUAUUAUGAGAAACUUAGAUGACAAGUAGCAGUUUCAUGCUCCAUCCCUCCUUGCCUCUCUAGUGAAGCCACUUUCAACUUUUUCAGCAGGUUCUUCUGGUUUUACAUCCAUAGAUCUUGCUACUGUGUGCAUGUUGCAAUCUAGUAAUUUAUCACUGCUAGGUAUUAUCUACCAAUUUCCUAGUACUCUCCUACAACUUCCUCCCUCUUUUUUAUCCUUUUAUUUUCAUUCUGGUUACAACAUACAUGUUAUUUCAAUCAUUAGUUUCAUUAAUAUGGCUCUGUAAAUCCAAAGUCCUUAUCAGGGCCAGGAAGGCCCUGGGUUAACUUUUUGAUCAUGCCCAGCUAUCUUCUGCCACCCUUCAUCCCUCUGUUCUUUCUAAAAUGGUAUUCUACCAGUGGUUCUCCUUCAUUUUACAUGGGUUUUAGUUCAAGUGUCACUUUAUUCCCUGGCUAUUCUGUGGAAAAUAGCAGGUAUGUCCCACUUUUCAAUCCAUAUAUACUUGCAGAUUUUCCUUAACCUAUGAAUCACUUAUAUUACAGACAGGUUCCUUUUCAAGCAUCUGUGUCCAUUUAUUAAAAUGUAAGUCACUUAGAAGGAGUUUGAUCUAUUUUGUUAUUGCUGUCAGACCAGUGCCUACAAAAUGGCCAGGCAACAGUGAGCACUCAGUAAGUGAUCAUGAAAUGAAUGGCUGCUUAACCAAUUAGCAUAUCAAGGGUUGUUUUCUUUACCUUUUAUUUUCCAGAGUUAAUAGUUGCCUUGUUUUUUAUUUGUUUAGUUUCCCACAUCCUUUUCACUUUGUUUAUCCAUAGAACUAACAGAUCUAUCAAAUGUCUGCCACAUAAAGUUUUAGACAUUAUCAGCUCUGUUUUAUUCCUAGAGACAGAGUUCUCCAGAACUGAGCUGAUUACUAUUCUAGAGCAUCCAGCACCAUCUUUCACAUUCUCUUUGCUUUGUUCCUAUUUUGGCUCUCUUGUUUCUUGGAUGUCAUUUAUUUUCCUUUUUUGAUUUACCUCCAUUAAUAUUUAUCUAGUAUUCUUCAAAAAUGUACACAGAUAAAAGGGAGAAUUUUUUUUGAGAAUUUGCAUGGUUUGGUUGACAAUCUCUGUCUUUUUUUUGUAGCCCGUUCAUAUUUAAUGUAAUUAUUGAUGUGGUUAUAUCACAUCUGUCAUUUUAUUUUCUAUGUCUCUCAUUGUUUUUUUCCUGAUGUUACAAUGUCUAGAAUUUAAUUUCUUAUUCCUCUGUUCCUCAUUUCUUGCUGUCUUUUGAGAGUUAAUAUAUAAAUAAUUUAAUAAUAACAUGCCAUUAAAUUCCUCUUUUUGGGGCGAUAUUUAAUUUUUUUCUAGUGCUUGUUCCAGGGAUUAUAGUAAAAAUCUUUAUUAUAUUAUACUCUAUUUAAUACUAAAUUUUGAUAAAAAAUUGCAACUUUGUUCCAGCAUGGCUUCAUUUUCUACCCUCCCUUCAUGCCUAUAUAUAUUCUUACACACACAUACAUACAUAUAUGUGAUGAACUAAUUAUACCAUAAAUAUAAACACACACACACACAAACACACACAAAGACACACACGAAUCAUUAUGUGAACCAUUAAAGUAAACUAUUCCAAUGAAAAGGGAGUUUCUUACACACAUAUACAGUCCAACAGUGUUGCAAUUAUUGCUGUAAAUAAUUUUGUAUUUUUCAAAGAAUGAAUAUACAAAUGCUCCUGGACUUACAAUUGAGUUACGUACCCAAAAAAACCUCACAAAUGAAAAAUUGUAAGUUCAAAAUGCAUUUAAUGCAUGUAAGCUACUAAACAAUCUGUGAUGUAGCCUCCUUUAAACACAUUCAGAACAAUUACAUUAGUCUACAGUUGGCAAAGUCACCUAACACAGCCUAUUUUGUAAGAAAAUGUUGCAUAUCUCUUGAAAUUUAUUGAACACAGCACAUUCAGAGUAUGGAUAUUGGUUGGUGACCCCAGGAUUUUGUGGCUGGCUGGUUGUGGCUUGCUGCUGCAGCAUCACCACAUAACACUAUCCAGGAAAAGCAUCAAAAUUCAGAAUUUGAAAUGUGGUUUCUACUGAGUGCAUAUAACUUUCACACCAUUAUAAAUUUGAAAAAUCCUAAACUGAGCCUUUGUUAAGUCAGAGGAUGUCUGUAUAUUCUUUCAUAUUUAAUCAUAUAUUUGCCAUUUCCAGUGCUCUUCAUCCCUUCCUAGCCAUUUGAAUAAGUCUAUAAUUUUAUCAUUUUUCAACACAAAGGCUAUCCAUUAGUAUAUUUUAUAAUCGUGCCUUUGCACCCCCUGCAUAUAGCAAAAUAUGUGAUGUUCAAGUCCCUUAUAUAAAAUGGCAUAGUAACCUAUACACAUCCUCCUGAAUAGUUUAAAUCAUCUCUAGAAUGCCUGUAAUACCUAACAUAAUGUAAAUGUUGAGUAAAUAGUUGUUAUUACUGUAUUGGGAGUACUGACAAGAGAAAAAAAUCUACAUGUUCAGUACAAACACAAUUUUUUUCCAAAGGUUGUUGACCCAUAAUUCAAUGAAUUCACUAAUACAGAACCCAUAGAUAAAGAGAGCUAACUAUUUUGGAGAAUGUUCCUUGUGUACUUGAGAAGAAUGUGUGUUCUACUGUUAAUGGAAUUUCUGUGUUAGGUCCAUUUGGUCUAAAGUGUAGUUCAAGUCCAGUGCUUCUUUAUUGCUUAUCUGUAUGAAUAAUUCAUCCAUUAUUGAAUGUGGGGUAUUGAAGUCCCGUGUUAUUAUAUCACUGUCUUUUUUCACUAUUAUAUCUAUUAUUAUUUGCUUUAUAUUUUUAGGUGCUCCAAUAUUGUAUGCAUACUUAUUUAUAAUUAAUAUAUUAUCUUGAUGAAUUAACCCAUUUAUCAUUAU